CCACCCCCACCAUCACCCUCCCCUCCACCUCCCUACCGUUACUACUCUCCACCUCCUCCAUCACCAUCACCACCACCACCAUACCAUUAUAAAUCACCUCCUCCACCGUCGCCUUCACCACCUCCUCCUUACCACUAUAAAUCACCUCCACCACCAUCACCUUCGCCCCCUCCUCCCUACCAUUACAAGUCACCUCCACCACCAUCACCAUCACCUCCUUACCACUAUAAUUCUCCUCCACCACCAUCGCCGUCUCCUCCUCCUCCAUACCAUUAUAAAUCCCCACCGCCUCCAUCACCAUCACCUCCUCCUCCUUACCACUAUAAAUCUCCUCCACCACCAUCUCCAUCACCACCUCCGCCAUAUGCCUACAAAUCGCCGCCAC
rnacentral:lncRNA from 1 species